GAUGAACGCUGGCGGCGUGCUUAACACAUGCAAGUCGAACGAAGCAUUUAGGACAGAUUACUUCGGUUUGAAGUUCUUUAUGACUGAGUGGCGGACGGGUGAGUAACGCGUGGGUAACCUGCCUUGUACUGGGGGAUAGCAGCUGGAAACGGCUGGUAAUACCGCAUAAGCGCACAAUGUUGCAUGACAUGGUGUGAAAAACUCCGGUGGUAUAAGAUGGACCCGCGUCUGAUUAGCUAGUUGGUGAGAUAACAGCCCACCAAGGCGACGAUCAGUAGCCGAACUGAGAGGGUGACCGGCCACAGUGGGACUGAGACACGGCCCAGACUCCUACGGGAGGCAGCAGUGGGGAAUAUUGCACAAUGGAGGAAACUCUGAUGCAGCGACGCCGCGUGAGUGAAGAAGUAAUUCGUUAUGUAAAGCUCUAUCAGCAGGGAAGAUAGUGACGGUACCUGACUAAGAAGCUCCGGCUAAAUACGUG
rnacentral:rRNA from 1 species